rnacentral:snoRNA from 2 species
GUCUCGGUGAAGAGCUCUGACCAGGAAGUGCCGUAUGACACUGUAAACAACAGCUGCUUCUCUGCCGCCGCUGCAAGUGUCCAUCCCUGCAUCAUAACCUCUGUGGUUUACUCUGGGAUGGAAUACCCAUUUGCACCGGCGGCUUGAUUCAGCUGUGUGCGUGAUUUGAAACGGGUCUCUGAGGGAU